CCCGUGACUUCCUGAUCACAUGGCAGCCACUUUACCAGUUACUCCAAGGCUCCCCUUCUUAGAGGCAUUUACUAGUGACAGGUACAAUUUAGCUCUCUUUGUAAAUGUCCCUAAAGCCUAUAACGAUAUUAGCUCAUUAGAUCCUAUGACAAUUAACUAAUGUUGGUAAAAAAUUAUAGGCACUCUUUAUUGAAAUGCAUAUUUAUUGCCGUUAAAAAUUGCUUUUGUUGUAGUGUUAUCUCAAAGAGCAAAAUGGCGGCAAUACAAGGCUCCUUCAGACUCAAGCUAGUACUGGAAAAAGAUAUGGGGAAAAUUUUGCUGAGGGAUAUAAUGGAGAUGGCUAUCAGUGGAGAAAGAGCAAUGGUGGAC
rnacentral:lncRNA from 1 species